UGGAUGGAAGUUGUAACUA
rnacentral:siRNA from 1 species